rnacentral:rRNA from 1 species
AUUGAACGCUGGCGGCAUGCCUUACACAUGCAAGUCGAACGGUAACACGUCUUCGGCUGCUCACGAGCGGCGAACGGGUGAGUAAUACAUCGGAACGUGCCCGAUCGUGGGGGAUAACGAGGCGAAAGCUUUGCUAAUACCGCAUACGAUCUACGGAUGAAAGCGGGGGAUCUUCGGACCUCGCGCCGACGGAGCGGCCGAUGGCGGAUUAGGUAGUUGGUGGGAUAAAAGCUUACCAAGCCGACGAUCUGUAGCUGGUCUGAGAGGAUGAUCAGCCACACUGGAACUGAGACACGGCCCAGACUCCUACGGGAGGCAGCAGUGGGGAAUUUUGGACAAUGGGCGAAAGCCUGAUGCAGCCAUGCCGCGUGGAGGAUGAAGGUCUUUGGGUUGUAAACUGCUUUUGUAAGGGACGAAAAGCCGCGUACUAAUAAAGGGGGGUCAUGACGGUACCGUAAGAGUAAGCACCGGCUAACUACGUG